CACGUCAAACUGUGAGUCGAGUCGCGCACCCGCGGAGCAGAGCCCUGCAGGCGUGCGCGUCCACGGUCCCUAUGCGCGUGCCGGGCCCUUUACUCUUCCUGAGCUAAAACGACUUCGUCGCUUCAUGUCGCAGUUCACAAACGAACAGCCCGGUGUCAUGAGACUGUGGUUUCUGUUAUGGCUGCCAUCUCUGGGAGGACACCCACGGCUCGCUGUGUCUGCAUUUCAGCGUUUCUCCUGCUCAUCUUCAUUCAGAUGUUAACCUCCCUGGUGCUUUUUGCGGGUGUGUUCAUCCUCUCUAACGAAGCCCUCAUCGGCCUCGGUGGCUUUUGUGUAAGACUUGAGCACAGCGACCUGUCCUGUGGCAGGUGGUUCGGGAGGGAUACUAACAGUGGAGCUGAAUCUGAGAUAAAAAUGAACAUCCUCACAGCCGUGGCGACCCUGGGCCUGUACGGUCCAGUGGUGCUCGUGGCCUUUGCCCUUCUGACCAUGCUGUUAGCAGCUUACGCCAAAGACAGAGCAGCAGUCGGCUUGAGCACGGCCUGCCAGGCCGCAUCGAGCCUGCUCAUCCCGACUGGCCUGAUUGCUUUUCUGCUCAUCAACUGGUCAUAUGUGAGCUGGGGACACAUGACCGUGUGGUUCUACGUCUGUAUGGGUGUGCACGUUCAGCUGCUUAUCUCGACUGCACUGACCCACAGGUUAUGGAAGAUACUGACAGCUGACUGGGAAGAGGUGGGUCCAAAUGAAAGGGCAUCCUCACCUUGUUAAACAGAAGGGAAAAGUGAAUCGUGCAGCCGAGAUAAAGUUGUUGAUGAAGGAUUAAUCAAAAUUACAGUUUUUACUUUUUUAUUUUCCUGAAUUUCCCUCAGGAUCAAUAAAUUAUCAUCUAUGCAUCAGCCUACGUACACCAACAUGUUGUUUGUGAUGUUUUCACUAAAAACGGGUCAAAUCUUUGCUUUGGAGCUUAUGCUGAUUAAAAAAAAUGUUUUGAGUGUUAUGACAGUUUUAAUCAUUAACUGUAAAACUUUUUUUUGUUGUUAAAUCAAGUGGAACAAACUGUAUUACUUUUGUGUGCUGUGACAGUGUUUUUGAAUUCAAGACAAACUAGUCUGUGAAAGUGACAACCGAGUGUGUAAAUAAAUAUCUCACAGUA